AACCGCCCAGUACGAGACCUGUACGCUGGGUGGUGUGAGGGGUGCACUCCAUCAUUUGUUGGCGGAACCAUCCACUCGAU
rnacentral:ncRNA from 2 species